rnacentral:misc_RNA from 1 species
AAGUGAGCGCGACCCCCGCACACGAAAACGGGGAAACACCCAUGCGCCGACAAAGGUACUCACUCCCGCGCACUGGGUAGGCGGAAUGCUGAGCGGCAUCGCCGGCAUCUGUCUGUGCGCGGUAGGCGGCACAGGUGGCGCUGCUGCCUGUUGUGCGGCAUGCUCCCGCAUGCCCUGACGUGUGUUCCUUCCCCGAUUGCCCGCGCAGCUCGAGCGCUGGCGGGUGCGGCGCAGAUUGCGUGGUGCUGGACCCCGGCCAGCGCCGGCCGUGGGUCUGCGGCACGGCCCACCCGCCGCUGCGCACGAACGAGCCGCGGGAGACAGCGCGGAAGGCCUGCUGAGCGGUGUGCGCGCCACGUGCCCGGCGAGCGUUGUCGAGGACGGCCCCGUCGCGCACGAGCGCCUCGUCGCCAUGGCGCGGGAGACGGCGCAGAGGGCGGGGGAGUCCGCGGCGGUGCCGUGCGUGAGGGCCGCGACGAUGGCGGUGUUUUUGUGUGCCGGUGUCUCCCCCGGCGGUGCUGUGGUCGAUGUGUCUUCUGCUGUGUGGGCCUAUGGAGGGGGCUGGUGUUGGGCUGCGACGGUGCGUGGUGGGCGGUGCUGCAUCCCGCCCGCACACACACUGAGGCCGCCCCGCCUCCCCUGCGCACGCAGGUGCUGCUAGGGCAACGCCGAAACGAGAAUGACGCAGCGGGAGGCCCCGUGCGGUAGGUUGUGCGACUGCGUGUCUUUGCACCGUCUUCCCUCGUCCUCGCGGUGCGGCGCGCGACUUGUUUGCAGCCGCGGCUAAACGAAGGAGGCGGGGCCAGUCGCGAGGAGGAGGACGCUGCGGGUGCGGGGGCUGUGUGCGGCGCGAGGGGUGGAGGGGGGCUGCCCGGAGGGUAGCGAGCAGUGCCCUCUGUCCUCUCUGCUUGCCCCCCCUCUCGUGCGCGCCUGUCUCUCCCUCGCUGCCGUUGCGGCGCGCGGCACAUCUGCCGGCCUCCUCUCCUGAUCCUUUUCGCCUGUGUGCAUGCCAGCCACUACUGGCCCAUGCGCUCCCGCUGUGCACGCCUGGCAGUCUCACCUGCCUGUCUCCUCCCCCUGCCUCCCCCCACUCUCUGUCUCUCCGUCCCUUCCCUCUCUCUCCUCGCCGCAUUCCACUCGUGCCCGCGCUGCCCAUCCGUCUUUGCCCUCUCGCCACACGCGCGCACGACCAAACGAACGCCGACAACGCGCGCGUGCACAUGCAACGGCGACACGUGCACGUCUGCAUAUCUGCAUAUGCUGUCAAG